GAGAGAGUUAAAGGCUGACUUCACAUAACAGCAAAUAGGUGUGAAUGGAUAAAGAAGUAUUUGUUCAGUGUUAAGGUAUUUGCUGAAGAUAGAGCAAGAGAAGUAGACCUAUUCAGGGAAGUCUGCAGUCCGCUCAAUCCUCGCCUAUCAGCUGCUUGUCAGGUUGAUUUGUCACCAUGACAACAGAAGCAGGCUCUGAGACGGAGGUGAAGGAGAAAGCUGAGGAGUCAGCCGCUGAGCCCGACCAAUCGGAGAAGGCCACGGAAGAUUCCCAGGAAGUAGCAAAUGCUGAAGUAGAGGAGAAGGAAAAAGCAAAGGUGAAGGAAAAAGAGGAGAAGGAAGGCAAAGGAAUAUCUCGAUACCUGCCAACAUGGCUUAAGAAGCAGAAGUCUCAAAGCCAGACCUCCCCAACAAAGGAGGCCCCCCCUACAGAGGAACCUGUUAGCAAGGUGACACAGGAAGAGGAAGGGCCUGCCCCAGAAGUGAACGGUCACGCUGAGGAAGUAGAAGAGAAGGAGGAAGUCAAGUCUGAGCAAGUGAAGGAAAAAGAAGCAGAAACUCAUUCCAACGCCAGUGCAGACACUGAGGUACUGCUCACGGGUUCACCACACCACUCCAUAGCAUAUGCUUUAAAGUAGAGUCAGAGAACAAGAUGUCUAGUACUGUCAGGUUAAAAUGGUGAUUUCAGAACAGAAAUAUAAACAUCUCUUAAAAAAUGGUUAAGCUUAUUUUUUUUUUAAUUAUUUUUUUUUUUAAACUAUGCCUGCUUCCUCCAAAAUCUUUCUGUCAGAUGAAAAGCUCGAUAACACUCAGAUAUCUAUGUAGCAUGCAAACUGAAGAAAAGAUGAACAAUCCUUGAUUAUGUCCAAAGGAACAUAAUCUGUCUGUCACCACUUCUACAUCUGACUAAUACGUGUUUUCUGCCAAGUCAGUAAUGGUUUCAACACAGUUCCACUAGAGGUGGAAAUCACCAGACCGCCCAUGAUACAAUAUUAUCACAGCACUUCACUCAUGAUAUGAUAUUAUUGGGAUUUUUAACAUUUUGAGAUAUAGUUGAUCAAGAGGUGGCUUUGUCAGGCCAAGUUUCCCCAGUGUCGGAUGGUUUUUCAGUUGAACUGAUUUAAUGUCAGUUUGCUCGACUAAUGUUUUCUCAGGAUGGUGAUGCAUGAGAUGAGAUGAGUAUUCCCAGAGUAUUUUAGUUUAUUUAAUAAAAUAUUGAUAUUUGUUAUUCCUGUAUCGGUAUUCUGUAUGGAUUUUUUUCCACUAAAAAACAAUGGUGUUAAAAAGCUGGUUAAAAAUCUACACUCUUUACAGCUCGACAUCAGCUCAUUGGCACAGUGUCAGUGGAAACAAAGUUUAGGUAAAAUAUUAUAUUCAGACUUAUAGUAUCAACCUUGUUUUACGUCAGAGAAGAAGACCUAUGAAAUGGGAGUAAAAGUAUCCUGCAGCAGUUGCGUCGCUUAUAACAGAAUACAUGUCUGUACCAGGGAAUUGUGUGUACUUUACAUGAUGGGCUGAGUGAAUGGCUUUGCAUUUCAGUUUCCUUAUGCCUGUGGUAAAUAAAUUAAAAAUCAGUAUAGUCAUUUACAAGCCCUGGUGGAAACACUAAACAGACUACAAGGCCAGUGUCAGUGUCAGUAUUAUUGUACCCUGUAACAUAUUCUUUAGUGGUCAGAGUGAUUAAAGUUCCCCAACAGCAUUCUGCUUUUGUUAACCAGCGACAUAUUGUGGUAAACACAGAUGGUAAGAAACCCAACAACGAGAUGUGACAUUUUCCACAAUGUUCAGACAUUGUUGAUGUGUAUUGACAGUUUAUAGCAAACUGCUUAAAAAUGCUGUUAAAUUACCAGAGGAACAAAGAAACACUUGAGCAUACACACACACAGAAACUCCUUUCUCCCUCGUGCACAUGCACACACAUGGACUCUUGCGUCCACUGAUCACAUUAAGCCACCCAGGCCCACCCAGUGACAUCAACAUUUCAGUGAUCAAGCCAAAAGAAACGCCUGCCUUUUCUAUGAGCAAAUUCAGACUAGAGGGGGAAUUACACACGGAAAGAAAACAGUUUGGUCUCAACAAGUAAUGAAGAUAUUUUUAUGUUUUUAAGAAGAUUGCAAGUUUAGUUUUUUAUUUCUUGCAAACCCCAUUAGCCUGCCAAGGAAGAGAAGGUGGAAGAGAGUGCAGAGAAAAGUCCAGAAGAGACCAAGGAGACAACAGAGGGAGAAGGAGCAGAGGAGGAGACGAAGGAGAAGGAGGGAGCAGUGGAGGCUGAAGGGGAGGCAGGAGAAGGCCAGACCUCCAUUUUCCAGUCUCCUCUUC
ensembl:lncRNA